CACAUCCCCAGCCCUAUUUUGUAUUUGAUUUAGAGACAGGGUCACACUGUGUUGCUUAGCACCUUGCUUUUGCUGAGGCUGGCUGUGAAUUCUCAAUCCUCCUGCCUCAGCCUCCCAAGCCGCUGGGAUUACAGGUGUGCAUCGCCGUGCCUGGUGAGAAGGUUACAUUUUUUUGACUCACUGAUAAAGCCAUAGCCAUGGAGAACUGUGGGGGUGUCAGUGAGGAGUGAGGACAGGGCGUUCCAGGGCUGUGACCUGAGCGGUGUGAGCUGGGGGAGCACCCAUAGAAAGAGAUUUGCUCCAGAUUGGAUGCCAUCAGGAAGCAGGAGUAUUCUAUGUCAGGAUGUCUUACCUUCUCGAUGAAAAGAUAAGGAAGAACCUUCUAGAACUCGUGAGAGACUAGCACUGUCACUGGCAAAGAAGCAGCCCUCACUCAUUCAGCCACAGAGAGGUUGGGGGACUUCUCAGUUCAAACAAUGCUCAUGUUUUGUCGGGGCAGCCUCAGUCGUGUGUCCGUGGUCUUGUUUCUGACCUGAUCCAACACCAGAGUGCGCUUCUCUGAUGCUGGUGGUCAUUGAAGUCAUGAGGUUCAGCAGGACACCGAGGCCCCGCUGGGAGGGCCGGGCAGCCCUGCUGAUGGGCUGGUUUCCUCCUCCCACUCACGCAGCCACUUACCUGUCAGGUAGCCAGCACAGCCUGCCUGCUCUGCGGUUCAGAAGCACGGAGUCAUUUGAUAAGUCCUGACCUGUCACCCUCCCUCUCUGCCUGUGUCCUCCUCCCCUGUCCUGGCUUCUCUCCACAGGCUCUGUCCUCCACGGGCUGUUGAUGUGCUUAUGUGUGGUUUAUUUGGUGUCGAUAAGCUCCCCAGGACCAGUGUGUAUCUGUUCUGUUCAUCCAUAGUCCCUGUGCCCUGGAACACAGUGGCGGCGGGGGGGCUCAAUUCGGCUAACAGUGCUGGCCGUUAAUAAAGACUGUGUUAACUGUGGAAUCCACAGUGCCUGGCUGAGUCACAUCUGGCCUUUUCUAGGAGAAUGUUCUAGUGUCCUGAGUCCCAGGGCCACGCUUCCAGAUGACAAUAGGAGUCAUUCCACCUGUCUGUCCACCCAGCCACCCAGCUAUCCAUCUAUGACUGUAUUGGGCUGUGCAUAAUUCUCAUUUGGAAAGGGAACAUCUUUGGAAAGUUUUCUCAUUUCUUCCAUGUCCCUGUGUCCUUAUCCUUGGCAGUCAGCAUGUGUCCCAAGUGAAACAAAUUACUAGUAUCUACGAAGCUAGAACAAAGCAUCUUCCACUUCUAGACAGCCUAUGCAAGUCCUCUGAGGAUGCUUAGGAUAUUGUUCUAGCUAGUGUUAAAUUUAAAGGAGCCACAUCUUUUUUUUUUUUUUUUUAAAGAGAGAGUGAGAGAGAUAGAGGUAGAGAGAGAGAGAAUUUUUUUUAAUAUUUAUUUUUUAGUAUUUGGCGGACACAACAUCUUUGUUUGUAUGUGGUGCUGAGGAUCGAACCCGGGCCGCACACAUGCCAGGCGAGCGCGCUACCGCUUGAGCCACAUCCCCAGCCCCGCCACAUCUUAAUUAUGGCAAAUUAUAGGCAUUCUUCAGAGAGUGUGGGUUCAGCCCAGACCAUGAUAAAGCAAAUAUGGAAAUAGAGGCUCAUGAGUUUUUUCUUUUCCGGGUGUAUGUAAAAGUUAUGGUGACACUGUAUUGUAGUCUAUUAAGGGUGCAAUAGUAUUAUGUCUAAAAAAUGUACCUAUCUUAAAUUUAAAAGUACCUGAUUGCUAAAAAAUGCUGACUGUCACCUCUGAGUACUAUGAUCUUUGCUGGUAGAGGGUCUUGCCUGCUAUUGCUGGCUACUGACUGAUCGGGUGGUGGCUGAAGGCUGGUGGCUACGGCUUAAUUCUUAAAAUAAGACAACACUGAAGUUUGCCUCAUCAAUUGAUACUUCUUUUCUAAAAGAUUUCUCUCCAGCACGCCUUGCUGUUUGACAGCAUUUUACACCCUGUAAACUUCUUUCAAAAUUGAGGUCAGCCCUUUCAGCUUUUGUGUGACAUUCUCAAGCCUCUGUCGUCAUCUCAGCAGCGUUCCCUGCACCCUCAGUGGAUUCCAUCUCCAGACAGCGCUCUCGUAGCUCAUCUGUAAGAGGCAGCUCCUUGUCCCUUGAGAUGGCAGCAGUCAGGCCCCACUUCCGGCUCCACUUCCAGUCCCCCUGCUGUUCCCACCGCACCUGCAGCUCCUCCUCCACUGGAAUCCGGAAGCCCUCGAGUGGGCCACAAGCGCUGGACUCUGGUGAAGUGCCGGUGUUCUGACCUCCUCCCAUGAAUCCCAGAUGCUCUUAAUGUCGUCUUGAAUGGCGGGUCCUUUCCAGAGGCGUCCUGUUGACUUUGCCCAGAUCCAUCAGAGGGACACUGUUUAGUGUACUUUGCUGUGUGCAGUGCUGGGCCUCACGCAGGCUGGGCAAGCGCUCUGCGCUACUGAUGGCAGCCACGGCCUUAGGAAAUGUGUCUCUGUGAUAAUCAGACCUAGGAUCUACGUCACUCCUGAUCGGGAGCUGCACAGUGAGGCUGUUGGCAGGCAUGAAAGGACAUCAAUCUCGCGGAGCAUCUCCCCAGAGCCCCUGGGAGACCAGUGCGCUGUAGGCGAGCAGUAACGCUUGGAAAGGACUCUCAGGCAGCGGGCUCCACGGUGGACGUGCUCAGCAAGCCAUGUGACAACAGGGACGUCACAGCCUUGGCCAUUCCCUUUAUGGAGCACAGGCAGCAGAGCUGUGUCAUUCGGAAGACCCCAACGGGCUUCACCUUCCCCUUGAAGUCACCAGCUGCCUUCGCCCCUAACAAGGAGUCAGCUGUCCUUUGACGACCUGCUCAGGCGCUGACUUCUCCGUAGCCAUCAAAGUCCUGGGCAGCACCUGCUUCCACAGAAGGCUGCUCCGUCUACACUGGAAAUCUGCUGCUGGUGCAGCGGCUCCAUCAGCCGUCCCAGAUGGAUCCUUGGGACAACUCUGAGCUGCUUCACCGCCCUUGCUGCGUCACCUGCACCGGGACUGGUGGAGCCUCAGGAGCGACCUCCGCAGCCUCGGCCGUUUCUCCUGCAGCUGCCUCACCUCUCGGUCCCCCAGGAGGGAGAGUGGGGGCCUGGCUCUGGCUACACCUGGCUCAAGGGAAUGCUGUGGCUGGUUUGA
rnacentral:lncRNA from 1 species